rnacentral:lncRNA from 1 species
CCCUUUUCUCUAUGCCUCACAACAACAACACUCACACUCUUGAAGUUGGAGGCUUCAACAAGGGAGGAAUCUAUUCCAACACCAACACCACUUCCUCCUUAUAUCCUAACCUUAACAACAACACUCUUGGAGGCUUCAACAAGGGAAUCUAUUCCAACACCACAUCCUCACCCUAUCUUAACCUUAACAACAACAACAACAACCACCUCAACAACAACCUUAACAGCAAUAAUCUCAAGGGCUACAAGACAUUUUUUAAGGGUGAAGAUCAGUUUCACACACCCAAAAGUGCCAAGAAAAACAGCAGCAACAACAACAAC